AGUGCAUAAAAAGCUAGGAAGACGGAAUGCUCACUCUCCUCCAUGAGGACUCCGGACGAGCAGAGAGGGUCUCAUCACUUUCUUUAGAAGACAGGAGAGAUUCAAAACAAAAGCCAAAUUCAACAACCAGCACAGGAAUUCCUACUUUCAUAUCUUCAUUAAUCUGUGAUAAGAUCAUAAUGCUCCAUUGUAACAAAAUUUACUACCAUACCCCGAAAAUCUAAGGUAAAAAACAGAUUUAUGGUAAAAUGAUUAUUAAUUCAUGAA